AUAUUCAUAAUUACACCAAAAAUAAUAGAAAGUUUCGAUAAGGAGUAACAAUUGAAUGUCAAAACUAAGCAUGCAACUAUUGCAAGUUUACUUCACAAAGAUGCUAUACAUUUUAUAUUGAUACUUAAUUGAAGACUGGAGGGAUGAAAGGACCGGCUGUUGUUAACCUUUCUAUGUAUUUUUUAUUUUUUCUUAUUUUACUGAAGAGGGAGUACGGCACUUAUAACUUGUACGCCAAUGUCAAGACUAAACUUGCACGAGUUUGCCAUAGUUUGACGGAGUACUUCUUGUGGCCACUGCCUCCAGGGCACACAACCAGAAACCUUCGGUGGAGGAUAAAAAUAACUGAACAAAAGCUUAUUGGAACGAGUUUUUAUCGCUGGUCAGCUGAAAAGGGGCAACAGACUCGUCCGAAAGAUUUAGAUGAAUCUUAAUCGAGUGAAUAGUAGUAACUAGUAGUGACGAAAGUAGAUCAUUUGAUCUAUAAUCAUUACUAUAUGAUUAUGGAAAUUGUGGAACAGCACGGCUUGGGGCUGAACAUUCGCGCUAUAAAACUACUUCGACGAGGUCGUAUAAUUUUAUUUUUUACGCUAUUUAGUCACAAUAUUGUGGAGUGACAUUAUAACUAUCUUACCGUAUAUAUUAAACGAUUAGAAAAAACGUUCAUAAUAUUGCCGUGGCAUAUAAUUCGCAACCGAUUUAAAUGCGCCUAUUCUGAAAAUAGAAAUAAGUAAUAAUUACUAAGUAAAGAUUUAAAUAAACAAUUUUUUAACUGAUAAGUAACGGAAGGAGCUUUUCCCCCAUCACUA